rnacentral:rRNA from 1 species
GAUGAACGCUGGCGGCGUGCCUAAUACAUGCAAGUCGAGCGAACGGACGAGAAGCUUGCUUCUCUGAUGUUAGCGGCGGACGGGUGAGUAACACGUGGAUAACCUACCUAUAAGACUGGGAUAACUUCGGGAAACCGGAGCUAAUACCGGAUGAUAUUUUGAACCGCAUGGUUCAAAAGUGAAAGACGGUCUUGCUGUCACUUAUAGAUGGAUCCGCGCUGCAUUAGCUAGUUGGUAAGGUAACGGCUUACCAAGGCAACGAUCUGUAGCUGGUCUGAGAGGACGACCAGCCACACUGGGACUGAGACACGGCCCAGACUCCUACGGGAGGCAGCAGUGGGGAAUUUUGGACAAUGGGCGCAAGCCUGAUCCAGCAAUGCCGCGUGCAGGAAGAAGGCCUUCGGGUUGUAAACUGCUGUUGUACGGGACGAAACGGCUCUGGUUAAUACCCGGGGCUAAUGACGGUACCGUAAGAAUAAGCACCGGCUAACUACGUG